UACGGGGGGGGCAAGCGUUGUUCGGAAUUACUGGGCGUAAAGGGCUCGUAGGUGGCCAACUAAGUCAGACGUGAAAUCCCUCAGCUUAACUGGGGAACUGCGUCUGAUACUGGAUGGCUUGAGUUUGGGAGAGGGAUGCGGAAUUCCAGGUGUAGCGGUGAAAUGACGUAGAUAUCUGGAGGAACACCGGUGGCGAAGGCGGCAUCCUGGACCAACACUGACACUGAGGAGCGAAAGCCAGGGGAGCAAACGGG
rnacentral:rRNA from 1 species